rnacentral:rRNA from 1 species
GAUGAACGCUGGCGGCGUGCCUAAUACAUGCAAGUCGAGCGAACGGACGAGAAGCUUUCUUUUCUGAUGUUAGCGGCGGACGGGUGAGUAACACGUGGAUAACCUACCUAUAAGACUGGGAUAACUUCGGGAAACCUGAGCUAAAACCGGCUAAUAUUUUGAACCGCAGGGUUCAAAAUAGAAAUACGGUCUUGCUGUGACUUACAGAUUGUUCCGCGCUUCAUUAGCUAGUUGGUAAGGUAACGGCUUACCAAGGCAACGAUGGAUAGCCGACCUGUAAGGGGGCUAGGCCGCGUUGGAGCUGAGACACGACCCAGACACCUACGGGAGGCAGCAGUAGGGAACCUUCCGCAAUGGGCGAGAGCCUGACGGAGCAACGCCGCGUGAGUGCUGAAGGUCUCGGGUUCGUAAAGCUGUGUUAUUAGGGAAAAACAGAUGUGUAAGUAACAGUGCGCAUCUUGACGGUCCCUAAGCAGAAAGCCACGCCUACCUACUU